rnacentral:rRNA from 1 species
CCACAACAGGUGGAGCCUGCGGUUUAAUCGGACUCAACGCCGGGAAACUCACCAGAUAAGACAGCUGAAUGAUAGUCGGGCUGAAGACUCUGCUUGACUAGCUGAGAGGAGGUGCAUGGCCGUCGUCAGUUCGUACUGUGAAGCAUCCUGUUAAGUCAGGCAACGAGCGAGACCCACGCCAACAGUUGCCAGCAUGUCCUCCGGGAUGAUGGGGACACUGUUGGGACCGCCUCUGCUAAAGAGGAGGAAGGAAUGGGCAACGGUAGGUCAGCAUGCCCCGAAUUAUCCGGGCUACACGCGGGCUACAAUGGUCAGGACAAUGGGUAUCGACACCGAGAGGUGGAGGCAAUCUCCUAAACCUGUCCUUAGUUCGGAUUGUGGGCUGCAACUCGCCCACAUGAAGCUGGAAUCCGCAGUAAUCGCGUUUCAAAAUAGCGCGGUGAAUAUGUCCCUGCUCCUU